AAGCGCGCCCACGGGCCCGCCGCGGCCGUUUCCGUCGCUCCGGGACGCGGAGCGCAACGCCGGACAGGAGGCUGACUCCGUGCGUGCCAGCUGCCCGCCUUGACCUCGCGUCCAAGAUGGGAAAGGUCCCCGUCACCCACCGCCGCGCAGAGGUGUGGCGCCGCGGGGCUCCAGGGUCCCCUCCAACACUGGAUAGAGAUGGCCUACGAUGGAAUCAGGAGGGUGUUACAGGAAUGUCAGAGUGAGGCUUCCAAGGCUCUCCCUGAUCUCCUGGAUCACUUGCCCUGGGGGAAGCCAGCUGCCGUCUCCCAAGGACACCGGGCAGCCCUUGGGACAGGUCCACGUGGAGAGGAAGUGAAGCCUCCCGCCGGCAGUCAGCACUGCCUUGUCACACACGGGUGCCAGGCGUGUGUGCCUGAGCCACCCUGGAAACGGACCUUCCAACUCCGUCAAACCUUCCAGUGAGCAGCCACACCCUGACUUGGUGAAAAAUCUCCAGGCAGAAGCACCCGGCUCCCCUGCUCCUGCGUUCCCAACCUCCGGAGCCUGCGAGGAGAGUAAAUGUUCACUGCUGUUGUAAGCUGCCGAGUUGGGGGACAAUUUUUUACUUAGCAGUAGCACUCUAAUAGAAGAUGUCUGCAUCUAGGAGCAGAGCAGCCAGGUCACACGUGAGGAAGCCAGAAGCAAUUUAUGGCAAAGUUAAUGAAGCUUAAGCUCACUCGCAUGGGCCCCUUCCAAAGCCCUGCGAUUUUGUAAUCACGGUUUUGAUUCCUCUGCUUACAAGGCUCCCAAAUCACAUCAGCUUCAGGCCCCCAAAAACCCGACUGUGCCGCUGGAGAAACUGAGGCCCUGAACUGUGAAGUGACCUGGCCCAGGACACACACCUGAGAACCCUGACUAAUCCACCAGCCCAGAUUCAAGGGCUGGAGAGCAGAUUCCAUCCUCUGAUGAAAGCACCCACAAAGGCACAGCUGUGAAAGGGCCAGGACCCAAGGAAGGAAGCAACUGCAACAGCCACCUUUGCUAAUGCUCACAACAGGGCUUCUCUGCAGGACUCAGCCCCAGUUGCCCUCAGUGGUACCUGGCUCGAUAAUGCACCUUGUGUGGGGGCUGCUUUCCCUCCCUCACCUCACCGAACCAUCCGCGUCCAGAUCUUUGUCUUAGGGUCUGCUUCUAGGGGAACUCAACCUAAGACACCGUCCCAGCCCUGUCUGACCCAGUGGUCAAGAUGAAGGCAGGGGUUUCCAGCAGGUGUCUGAACCCUCAUCUCUACUCUGGACCCAACCCUCACAGGAGGGUGAUCGGACGAUGCUGGCAGGACUACAGUGAGGACAGGAGUGGCUCCGUACCCAAAUCCUGGAAUGAACCGCCGGGGAGCCACCACCAUCUGGGCAGCAAGCGGCAGCACAGCCUGCCCCCCCCAUUCUACCUGAAGGCAGGACUGGGCAGGGGCGGCACAGCCUGGUCCCCCCCGCCCCCCAUUCUACCUGAAGGCCGGACUGGGCAGGGGAAGGAGGGCUGCAGGGCAGCUCGCUAUCCAGGAGGACAGGACUUCCCUGUGGCUCCCUAAAGUGAGGGAGAAAGGGCUUCCGAGCCACCGUUCAGGGCGGCAGUUUACGAGUCCCCACAGGCCUGGCUGUUCCGACGGACACUCCAUGGCCUGUCCUGCAUCUCUAAGUUGCCUCCUUCUCUCCAUCACGAUGACAGUCACCAAUUGUCACCAGCUCCCGCCUGGCAUUUUGGAACCUCCCUCCCAGGCUCUGUCUCCUCUCUCAGCCUCUGGUCUGCUCCAUCCCAACACUCUAAAGUGGAUCUCGCAAACCAAGUUGGCAGGCACCAGCCUGUGGUCCACAUGCUGCCUGUGGUCUAUUUUUGUGUGGCCUGUAAGCUUAGAAUGGUUUUUCCAUUUUCUUCUUAAACAAAACAAAGAAAACUAUGUGACAGAGAUGCUUGCCAACCCCUGCCCUCAAGCUUAAAGGAGUGGUCUGCCUGGCAGCCUCAUUGCCACCCCUCACCCGACACACCCUCAGGUUGCUUUCUGUGCCUGAAACACCCACCCUCACUCCCUGGUAUGCCUGGUCACCGACCCACACUUCAGAACUCACUGAGUGUCCCGUUGGCUGGGCCUAGGCCUGCUGGCUCCAGAUCACGGCUUGGCUCCCUAUGCUCUUCCUGAAGGCUGAAAACCCAGCAAGACUGGAUCGCGGCUGGGCUUCACCUACGGUGGGAGGUGGAAGGGCAGGAAGAAGGAAGAUGGCAGGGUCUUUCUUCCCAGGGUCUCGGGCCCCAUGGGGUUUUCAUUACUCAGAACACCCAGUAGAUGUGCCCACCAUGGCCCCAGCUCCUACUGGGUGACCUGAGACCCUGAACUUGCCCUUCCCACUCCUCCCUCAGGCAGCCGGGGCUUCCUGGGGCUGCUGAUCUCUGAGUUGCCCCUGACUGGCUUCUCGGCUCGUCCACCUGUGUAACCAGUCGCCUGCAUUUCAUUACCUCUGUUUAAACACUGGUUUGGAAGGCAGGUGUUGUUUUGAGUAGCCUUCAAGAUGCCACUUGGGACACUUCUGUCCCUUAUCAGACUACCUGAGUUUGUGUCCUGGCUCUGCUCUCAAUUCCAGCUUCCUGCUAAUGUACUCCAUGGGAGGCAGCAGGUGAUGGCUCAAGGCCUUGGGUCCCUGCCACUCACCUGGGAGACCCAGAUACUGAAUGCCUGCGUCCUGGCCCAGCCCUGGCUGUUGUAUUUGACUAGUGAACCAACAGAGGGGAUCUCUCUCCCUCUCCUUCUCCUCUCUCAUUCUCUCCCUCUCAAAUUCAUGGUAAAUAAACAAAUAACAAUGUAAGCACUGAUGUUUGUUUUCUAGGUAGGACAGCUGACUAGUACACCAUUCUUUCAGGCAUCCACUAACCCCUAGAGCAGCUCACUCAUUGCUUCCAUAAGCCUGUGGGUGCCUACGGUGCCCUAAGCCAAGAGUCAGCAAACCAUGGGCCAAAUCCAGGCCACUGUGUACUUUGUAAAGAAAGCAUUACUGGAACACAGCCACACCCAUAUUUACAUAUUGCCUAGGACUACUUUCACAGGUGGAGUUGAAUAGCUGUAACAGAGACCCACCUGCAGCCCACAAAGACGAAACUAUUCACUCUGGUUCCUUUCAGGAAACAUUUGCCAACCCUUGUUCUAGGUAGGCUUUUGCUACCUGAAAUGUAGACCCGGAACACCUGGGAGCUCAUUAGAACUGCAGAAUAUUAGAGGCUACCCAGGCCCACCAAAUCAGAACCUGCAGGUGGACAAGGCCCUCAGCUGAAGUGUGUGCACACUGAGGUGUGAGCUUGCUGUCUUGAGAAGUCAUAUGCUUAUCACCACAUUCACCUGAUCAUCAGUCUUUAUUAGCACAUUGGUCUUAGUUGGAUCCCCAGCACCUGGUCAGUUGGCCCAGAAAGGAUAAAUGCAGUGAUUCUCUGGCUCAUAAAUUAUUGGGCGCUGAAGGAAGAGUUUCAAAGAGAGCUGUUCCCAUUUUUGACAUACAGGUUGGCAAAGAUCAGGAAGUCUCUGAGCACAGGUGUUGGGACGUAAAGGAAAUAGCUCUCACAUGGUUUGGACCACCUCUUUGGGGAGAUCAAUUUGAGAAAAUGUUCAUGGAAAAAUGGAAUUAAAUGAUAAAUUUAUAUGGGUGCAAAAACAUUUUUCGGAAAUCCAUGCAUUGUUUUUACAUAAUGCAUAUUUUUCAUGAACUUUUGGAAGGCCCUUCAUAGUCAUCAAAACUACAAAUGCACAAACCCUGUGACCCUCAUCCUCGGGACAGACUUAGGACUGAGAGCAAGGAUAGGCUACCAAGGGAUUUACUGCACAAAAACCAAAGUUGUCUGCAACCAAGUUGCCUACAAUCAAGUGGCCAUCAACUAGAAAUUUGCUCAGCAAAUUAUGAUAUAUAAUGAAACUAUACAACUUUUAAAAAGAAAGACAGGGGCCAGCGCUGUGGCUUAGCAGGUAAAGCCACCACUUAUAGUGCCAGUAUCCCAUAUGGGCGCCAGUUCGAGACCUGGCUGCUCCACUUCUGAUCAAGCUCUCUGGUAUGGCCUGGGAAAGCAGUGAAGGAUGGCCCAAAUCCUUGAGCCCCUGCACCGACGCGGAAGACCCAGAGGAAGAUCCUGGUUCCUGGCUUCAGAUCGACGAAGCUCCAGCCUCUGUGGCCAACUGGGGAGUGAACCAGCAGAUGGAAGACCUCUCUCUCUCUCUCUCCCCUCUCUCUCUCUACCUCUCCUCUCUCUGUGUAACUCUGACUUUCAGAUAAAUAAGUCUUUUUAAAAAUUAAAAAAUAAAAAGAAAGGAGUUAGAGAAUCUCCAAGAUAUAUUAUGUGUAAAGUGAAAAAAAGUAAGACGUAGAACACCCCAUAGGAGACAGAGGAAAAAGAGGAGGAGGUGAUAGAGAUUUUCUUGCAUUCUCAUAAAACAUCUCUUAAAGGAUGUGCCCAGACUCCACCACCACUGGCCCCUAGAAGAGGUUAUUGGAUUGCUGGGUGCAGGGAUAAGAAAAGACCUUUCACUGCCUACCUUUAUAUACUUUUUGUUUCUGUACUUUGGCUGCAAGUUUAUUCGACACAAAGUAUUUCCCUCUAACUGUAUUGAGAUGUUGGCAAAAUCUCUGUCACAUAGUUUCUUUGUUUUGUGGCUGACCACACCCAUGAACAAAUCUGCCCUGAAACUGUAAUUUGAUUGCUGGCCCAGCCCUGACUUUCUUGUGCCACCUUGGGCCAGGGGCCAGGGAGGUGGGGGACACGACGGUGCUGAGACCAUAGGUCUCGUCAGUGUCUCCGUGAGCUUCCCCUCUUGUGAGCCUUGCCCACUCACACUGCAGACCUGUGGGCUGAGGUCUGCUGGUCUCAGGACACAGCUUGGGAUCCUGGCAGGCAGAGUCUCUGGAGCAGGUGGAGGUCAUUGCCAGACACCCUCGUUGGUAAGAUACCUGUACAACACCUCCGGGCAAACUGCUCCCUCAUGCUGCCUUGGGACUUGAGAGACUGCAUGGACUUCAGUUGUGUGGUUGUUGUUUGCUUAGGCACGUGGGCAUCCCUCCUGGCUACCGUCAUUCCCACCUUAAAAAAGAGGUCAUAAAUGGCAGUGCAAUCCUUUUGGGGCACAUCAGCCUGGCAUGGUCAGGACUGGAUAGGAAGGGGCAUCUUGUCGCUCCCCCUCUUCGUGGAGGAACGACACAGGACCCUGCGCUGUUCUUUUUGUCUGCUCGGCCCUCCCCGGGUUUGCUGCUGGUUCUUCCCGGGUUGGCUACUAUCCCUUCCACCUCUGUGGAAGGGCAGUUCCCCCUGGCCGCAUUCCCCACUUCCGCAGGGGAACGGCACACCGCCGGCCGGCUUUCUCGGGGGGCUGCACAGGUGUUCCCUCAGAUGUUCCCCUUAGAUGUUCCUGGUGCAUGCCGUCUCUCUCCUCCUUUAUAGUCCUCCUCCGCCAAUCCUAACUCGGCUGCCCACACGCCGAGUACGCUGCUCUCCUCCAAUCAGGAGUAGGUCCUACAGUUUAUUGGUUGAACUGGAGGCAGCUGCGUAGAAGCUGUUUUCUCCUCUCCCAGCGCCAUAUUGUGGGAGAGCAGAUGCAUAGAAUAAGUCUUAAUUCCAGUAACAAUAUAGUCCGAGUUGCUCCCCACAGUGGGAGAGCAGAUGCAUAGAAUAAGUCUUAAUUCCAGUAACAGUAUAGUCCGAGUUGCUCCCCACAGCAUCUCCACGGCAUCUCUUCCCUAGUACUUUUUGAAAUAAAACAACAGGCUGGGCAUUUAGUCUAACAGUUAAGACACCCAUGGCCCACACCUGGGCGCCUGGAUUCAAUACACGAGGCUCCACUCCUGACUCCAGCUUCCUGCUAAUGCAGACCCUGGGAGACAUCAGGUGAUGGCUCAAGUGAUUGGGUUCCUGGAGGUCCCUCACUUGGGAGGCCUGGAUUAUGUUCCCAGCUCCUGGCUUUGGCUUGGCCCAGCCUCAGCUGUUGCGGGUUUUUGAAUAGUGAACCAGGAGAUUCUCUCUCUCUCUCUCUCUCUCUCUCUCACAUAAUAAGAACAAGCCAACCAUAAAAGCAGGAAAAGUCUCAGGAGCGUAUACACGCAGCAUAGCAUAGAAAAGUGAGGCCGUAGUUUAGAUGUCAGUCUGGAGUUUCCCCACUUGGAAUGUGGUCCCCAGGCCAGCAGCAUCAGCAUCCCCGGAGAACCAGUGAGCAACUCGAAGUCCCAGGCCCCAUCCCCAAAGCAUGCAGUGGGAAUCUGCAGUUUAACCAGAGCCCCAGGGAAUUCGCUCUCACAGCACGGUUUGAGACGCUCUGGUCCAGCCGCUCGGAGAACUCACUCAUUACAGCACCACCUGGUUCCCAUGGUCUGUUACUAAUAAAACAGCUGUCUGUUCCCCCCAACUGGGGCUCCAUCCCAGUGAGACACCAGGGCCCAGGCUGUUCCCAUUAAGGGGGAGGUUUUCCGCAGCUCCGCCCAGGCCCUGGCUGGCCCCAUGCCCAGUGUCCUGGCGGGUUCCCAGCUGAGAAGACAGCUCACUUCCUCCUGCUGAACUGCUCCCCGCUCCCCGAGAUGUAAACUCUUUCCAGCACGAACAAAGAUGCAUCUGUCUGGCUCAGGUUUUUUCCUACCGAGUGUUUAUUUAUCCAUCCACCCUGGGCCUCCGAGGACCCGGCCCCUGACCUGGUGGUGGAAGGAGCCAGGGAGGGGUAGCCGAA